AACGCACGAGACCUGCGGACCUGCGGAAGGAUCAUUAAUGAGUUGAAUUGAAGCUGUUCUGGUCUUUCGGGGCAAGUGAACGCUUCUCAAUCCAUCCUACACCUGUGCACUUUGAAAGGGAGGAAUACUUUGGAUCUAAGUUGGGCAACGACUUGUGAUCUUUAGCCUCCCUUUUUCUAUACUCAACUACAGUUAUAGAAAGUCUUUUUUUUUUUUGCUUGAUGCGAAAAUAAAUACAAC
rnacentral:misc_RNA from 1 species